CGUGCUUACCGGUAAAACUCAGCGACCCACUGUACUAAUAAGCUCCUCGUACUGGCCGUUUGGGUGAAACUCAAAAUCGAGUACCAGACCCUAAGGACCCCUACAGUUCCACAAAUCCUUAAGUCAUCCGACGUACAAGUAGUACUAUAACCACAAACAGCAACGGAACGUGUGCCACAGGUCCGAAUCUGUACUUUCACGUAAACCUCUAUACUACUUCUCUGAUUAUUCCACAGUGUAUUUCAUGUAAAUAGACCAUACUGCCGUGAUAUUUAGUUGUUAACAAGUUAUCCACAGUACCAUCACAGUCCUACGUAAUUUUUGUACGAAAUGUCAAAUCAUAGUCUUCUCAAAACUGUAUCUUAUAAUCUUCCUUCCAACUCGACUCUAGUUUUACGGCUGUGUGUACACUCCUUAACGUACACCUAUAAUGGACCACAACUACAACACAGAAGUUAAACCACCUGCAAAGAAACGCGGAAGCUAACAAACCCGCAGCGCCCGCAUAUAACCUACGUUCAACGACCUAAACAACUGUACGGAAGCUAAACAGCCGGUAGAGCACACAAGCUAACAGAGCCGUAGAACUUUUUCCUCGAUAACACUCUUUUACGUCGUACCCAGUCUGGGUUCUCAAAUUAGUAUUUAUAGUAGAAUAUUUUAGUACCAACUUACUACUAAUACACUACAUUCAUCACUGGUAUGCAGAACAAACAAGAGGCUCUGAUACUAGACUGACAAACUGAUUACAUAGAACUUCUUCCC
rnacentral:rRNA from 1 species